rnacentral:rRNA from 1 species
AGCGAACGCUGGCGGCAGGCCUAACACAUGCAAGUCGAACGAACCCUUCGGGGUUAGUGGCGGACGGGUGAGUAACACGUGGGAACGUGCCUUUAGGUUCGGAAUAACUCAGGGAAACUUGUGCUAAUACCGAAUGUGCCCUUCGGGGGAAAGAUUUAUCGCCUUUAGAGCGGCCCGCGUCUGAUUAGCUAGUUGGUGAGGUAAUGGCUCACCAAGGCUACGAUCAGUAGCUGGUCUGAGAGGAUGACCAGCCACAUUGGGACUGAGACACGGCCCAAACUCCUACGGGAGGGAGCAGUGGGGAAUCUUGCGCAAUGGGCGAAAGCCUGACGCAGCCAUGCCGCGUGGAUGAUGAAGGUCUUAGGAUUGUAAAAUCCUUUCACCGGCGAAGAUAAUGACUGUAGCCGGAGAAGAAGCCCCGGCUAACUUCGUGCCAGCCGCCGCAGUAACAC